rnacentral:rRNA from 1 species
UUCCAGACUCCUACGGGAGGCAGCAGUGAGGAAUAUUGGUCAAUGGCCGAGAGGCUGAACCAGCCAAGUCGCGUGAGGGAUGACGGCCCUACGGGUUGUAAACCUCUUUUGUCGGGGAGCAAAGAGAGUCACGUGUGGCUCAUUGAGAGUACCCGAAGAAAAAGCAUCGGCUAACUCCGUGCCAGCAGCCGCGGUAAUACGGAGGAUGCGAGCGUUAUCCGGAUUUAUUGGGUUUAAAGGGUGCGCAGGCGGAAUGUCAAGUCAGCGGUAAAAUUUCGGGGCUCAACCCCGUCGUGCCGUUGAAACUGGCAGUCUCGAGUUGGAGAGAAGUAUGCGGAAUGCGCGGUGUAGCGGUGAAAUGCAUAGAUAUCGCGCAGAACUCCGAUUGCGAAGGCAGCAUGCCGGCUCCACACUGACGCUGAGGCACGAAAGCGUGGGUAUCGAACAGGAUUAGAUACCCCCGUAUG